rnacentral:rRNA from 1 species
AGCAGCCGCGGUAAUUCCAGCUCCAAUAGCGUAUAUUAAAGUUGUUGCAGUUAAAAAGCUCGUAGUUGAAUUUCGGAGUUUGUCGGUUGGUCGGGCUUCACUGUCCGCACUGGCCUGAUGGAUUCCUACCUUCUGAAUAACCAGCAUGCUAUUAAUUUAGUGCGUUGGGGAAGCAGAGCUAUUACCUUGAAAAAUUAGAGUGCUUAAAGCAGGCUUACGCUUGAAUAGAUUAGCAUAGAAUAAUAAAAUAGGACGGCUUGGUUCUAUUUUGUUGGUUUCUAGGAUCACCGUAAUGAUUAAUAGGGAUAGUUGGGGGCAUUAGUAUUCAAUUGUCAGAGGUGAAAUUCUUGGAUUUAUUGAAGACUAACUUCUGCGAAAGCAUUUGCCAAGGAUGUUUUCAUUAAUCAAGAACGAAAGUUAGGGGAUCGAAGACGAUCAGAUACCGUCGUAGUCUUAACCAUAAACUAUGCCGACUAGGGAUCGGACGAUGUUAAUUUUUAAUGACUCGUUCGGCGCCUUA